ensembl:rRNA 5S_rRNA 5S ribosomal RNA
GGCCACAGCCAUAUCACCCUGCAUCCCAAGACUCACUAAAGGUUACUCACUGAGGCUAAGCAGUGCUGAGCCUGGUCAGUACCUGGAUAGGAGACUACAUAGGAAAACUAGGUUGCUGUUGGAA